GGAUGUGAGGGCGAUCUGGCUGCGACAUCUGUCACCCCAUUGAUCGCCAGGGUUGAUUCCGCUGAUCUGGCUGGCUAGGCGGGUGUCCCCUUCCUCCCUCACCGCUCCAUGUGCGUCCCUACCGAAGCUGCGCGCUUGGUUGAAGAGGACGACCUUCCCCGACAGAGGAGGACCGUUCUUCGGUCAAGGGUAUACGAGUAGCUGCGCUCCCCUGCUAGAACCUCCAAACAAGCUCUCAAGAAAAAAGGGAUAGGAUCAAAGCAAGACUGAAAUUCACCUGGGCAAACAUGCUCUAUAGCUCCAUGU
rnacentral:snRNA from 1 species